UAAUACUCUUGCCAAAGAGACACAUUUUGGGGUGGCAAAUUUUGCUCCCCUAUGCUUUGUGAUUUGCAAUAUGUAUAUUCUUAAACCAACACAAGAGUAGAGACCAUCUGUCCUUUCCCAGGGACCAAUCACCCAGCUUUGACAAUUGUCAACAUUUUCUGAUAUUUGUUUCUUUUCCCCCACACUGGAAAAAAAGAGUUGCCAAAGUAUUUUGAAACACAUCCCAGAUAACAUGAAUCAUUUCACUUGUAAUAAUUUAGUCUUCAUCUCUAAACUAAUAAGGACCUUUGUUUUCAUAACCAUAAUGCUAUUAUCAGACCUAAAAAAUUAACAUUAGUUUCUCACUAUUAUCUAAUACCAGUCCAUUCUUAAUUGUCCUCAAUUGUCUCCAAAUGCCUUUGUACAUGUACCUGGUUUGCAUCAGCAUCAAGCAAAUACAUCCGAAGUAAGGCCUAGAUGGAUGCAGAAUGCUGAUGAAGAAAAUUCCACGAUAAUGUCAGCUCUGGCUUCCUGGAUGAUCCAGGGAAAUGUAAUAGAGUCUAAUUGAAGAGAAUAUGAUUCAAGAUACAGACUGGAAUUUCUUAGUCAAGGAUCACUGACCUCAACUAUUUUACAAAACUUAUCAGCAGAACGUUUGAUUUCCUACAAAUCCCAAAAGAGUGGUAGCUCAGUUUGACUAUUCCCUCACUACAAGUUGAAGAAAUGGAUACAAAAUUCUCACAAGAUUCUUAGUCCCUGGAUCCUGGCCUGGUGAAAAGGCGUGGCUGUUAUCUCUCAACAUGGUACUACAGUAGGGCAGCUGUGCCCUGAGAUGUUACCAGCUUCAGACACAGCCUGCUGUCCACCUUCUCCAUGAAGUUCCAGAGCCUUGUGGAAAACCCAGAUGAUUCUGCUCUCCUCACAAGCCUGUGCUUCUUUUGCUGCUCCACCAAACAUCUGGGAAGGUCAAGGACUUGAACUCUUUUCUCUGGUUCUGCCAAUGAACGGAGGCAAAGGAAAAGCCUCAUGCUAUGGAAGAUAAUCCCCCACAUGGCUUGCCCAGGAAAAUAAUCUGCUGCCCACUGGAAACUUCACAUAUUUGUCAACUCAAAGAUUCCACACCAAAACAGAAGGUGGGAAAUCCACAUAUCACCAGGAGCCAGAAGUAGCAGAAACUGCAAAGUACUUCAGGAGCAUUAGUGCCCAAGGUGAAGGAAAGUGUCAAGCUGACCUAUGGACAAAUCAAACCUAAUCUAAUAAACUCUAUGCCACACAAAUUAAGCAUCUAUUUUUUCUUUUCUUUUUCUUUCUUUUUUUUUUUUU